AAAUGAAAAUUUUAUUUAUACCAUAUAAGAAUAAUAUUGAAAACCAACCAUUAUGUAUAAAUGCUCACACCAAACAUCUUGAUGCCAAUAUGAAGAUUAACAGAAAUCACCAAUCACAUCCUGUGUGGGUACUUCUUAGGACAACAAAAUGAUAAGUUGGAAAAAACAACGAUUAAAAACAAAACGGAAACUAUGGACUGACACCAUUGUUGAAUACCUGGUAUAUAGUACCAUCAAUUGUAUUAAUUACUAUAGGUAUUCGUAUACAGGUGUAUCCUUCAAGCUCACUGUUACCUAUCAAAUUUCUCAUUCUUUACCACAUUUGUUUACGGCUCAAUAUUUGCAUACACAAUGAGUUAAAAUAAUUUCUAGUAUUUCGUUAUCAAGAAAGAAUCCAGAAUUUGACACCUUUAUCUCACGCCAACAAAUAUAAAAUUUGACAUCUAUAUCUCGGGAACAAAUACAGCAUUCCUUUAUUGUGUAUGACAUAUUCCUAAUCUUUAUGGUAGAGUACCUGGUCACGCCUACCACGGGAGUUAGUAUCCGACCAAAAGGAUACACGCCAACAAGUUAGUGUAACAAACUAAUUAGGUUGAUGUUUAACAUAAAAAAAAAGAGUUAAUUAUUAAAGACUAAGUAUACUGAAAUCUACUACAGACCAUGUCUGGUUAUAUAGAACUAUUGACAGACCUAUAAAGUUGGCUAUAUUAGACAAUGGUAUCAACUUCCCAAUAUCCUAUAAAGUUGGCUAUAUUAGACAAUGGUAUCAACUUCCCAAUAUCCUAUAAAGUUGGCUAUAUUAGACAAUGGUAUCAACUUCCCAAUAUCCUUCGUAGUCAUGCUGUAUUAGACAAUGAUACCAACUUACUGAUAUCCUAUAAAGUUUGCUGUAUUAGACAAUGGUACCAACAUCCCGAUAUCCUAUAAAGUUGUGCUACAUUAGACAAUGGUACCAACAUCCCGAUAUCCUAUAAAGUUGGCUGUAUUAGACAAUGGUACCAACAUCCCGAUAUCCUAUAAAGUUGGCUAUAUUAGACAAUGGUACCAACAUCCCGAUAUCCUAUAAAGUUGUGCUAUAUUAGACAAUGGUAUCAACUUACAGAUAUCCUAUAAAGUUGGCUAUAUUAGACAAUAGUACCAACAUCCCGAUAUCCUAUAAAGUUGUGCUACAUUAGACAAUGGUACCAACAUCCCGAUAUCCUAUAAAGUUGGCUGUAUUAGACAAUGGUACCAACAUCCCGAUAUCCUAUAAAGUUGGCUGUAUUAGACAAUGGUACCAACAUCCCGAUAUCCUAUAAAGUUGGCUAUAUUAGACAAUGGUACCAACAUCCCGAUAUCCUAUAAAGUUGGCUGUAUUAGACAAUGGUACCAACAUCCCGAUAUCCUAUAAAGUUGGCUGUAUUAGACAAUGGUACCAACAUCCCGAUAUCCUAUAAAGUUGGCUAUAUCAGACAAUGGUACCAACAUCCCGAUAUCCUAUAAAGUUGUGCUAUAUUAGACAAUGGUACCAACAUCCCGAUAUCCUAUAAAGUUGUGCUAUAUUAGACAAUGGUACCAACAUCCCGAUAUCCUAUAAAGUUGGCUGUAUUAGACAAUGGUACCAACAUCCCGAUAUCCUAUAAAGUUGUGCUAUAUUAGACAAUGG